rnacentral:rRNA from 1 species
GACGAACGCUGGCGGCGUGCUUAACACAUGCAAGUCGAACGGAAAGGCCCUGCUUGCAGGUUACUCGUGUGGCGAACGGGUGAGUAACACGUGGGUGAUCUGCCCUGCACUUCGGCUUAAGCCUGUUCAACUGGGUCUAAUUCCUGCUAGAUGCUAUUUUUAGUGUGAUGGUUGGAAAGUUUUUUGCGUUCUGGCUGAGCUGGCUGCGUAUCUGCUUGCUGGUGGAGUAAUGGGCUACCAAGGCGGCGACGGGUAGCCGGACUGAGUGGGUGGACUGCCAUAUUGAGACUGAGGGACGGCCCAGACUCCGACGGGAGGGAGAAGGGGGGAAUAUUGAACAAGGGGCGCAAGCCGGAUGCAGCGACGCCGCGGAGGGGAUGACGCCCUUCGGGGUGUAAAACAUAUGCGCAAGGGACGAAGCUUUUUGUGACGGUACCUAGAUAAGAAGCACCGGCUAACUACGUG